rnacentral:rRNA from 1 species
UACAGAGGUCUCAAGCGUUGUUCGGAUUCAUUGGGCGUAAAGGGUGCGUAGGCGGCGCCGUAAGUCAGGUGUGAAAUUUCGAGGCUUAACCUCGAAACUGCAUUUGAUACUGCGGUGCUUGAGGACUGGAGAGGAGACUGGAAUCAUGGUGUAGCAGUGAAAAUGCGUAGAGAUCAUGAGGAAGACCAGUGGCGAAGGCGGGUCUCUGGACAGUUCCUGACACUGAGGCACGAAGGCCAGGGGAGCAAACGGG